UGGUUGCCGGCCUGUUAAAUUUCAAAUUUCUUUUGACGUUUUUACCAAGCAGGGAGGCCAAGCGCAGUCUUCCUGCACCAAAGAUACACCAGCAGACAAGCCAGCAACGUGCCAGAAACAAGAGCCGUCCCAGGGACUUUUGGAUGGGCCUGUUCAGAGCAGCGAGCAGGAGCAAGGGCUAGGAAAACGCAGGGGGGCUGGCUGGUCCUGGGCCACCCCUCCCCUUGGGUGCUGGUGCAGGGGGAAGGCAGGGGCUUGCCCAUCACCCGCUCAGGCCCUAACCUACACCUCUCUGUCUCCCACAGGCAUCCAUGACCUCACACAAGCCCCGGCACACCAGCCACGGCCCGCCCACAUCAGGAGACAGGCGCUUCGGGCUCUGCGCAGUGCUUUGUGCUGCAGCUUCAUCGCAGAAGAGUGGGAGUAGCAGCGCCCAGCUGCCAGCACCAGGAGGGCGCUCGGAGCUGUACGCUGACAUCACUGAAAGGAACAGGACAGUGCCCCAGGAAUUCAGAUGCCCCUCCACAUCCUGCCCCCAGCCUCAGCUCAUCUGCAGCUGCCUUCUGCUGGGAAUAAAAGCUCAGGCAGAGUUUUGCUCCCAGUGCUCCUCUCUGUGUCGUUGAUCUCAGGAGAAAGAGUGGUGCAGACCACGCCAACCUGCUUCCCGUAGCAUUCAACACCGUGCAGCGCUGCAUUCAGGAGACCCUGCUCUUUCUCUCCUACACCCUUGCAAAGAAGCAGGCUGUUGAUUUCAUCUUCAAGGACAUCGGCCGUCUGGUCUCCCGCAAGAGCAGAGUCCAAAUGCACUUUUCCUCCGACUUUGUUCACAACCUGAAUAGCAACGGCCAGCUGUUGAAAUGCCGCCUCACUAGGUUAAGCACAACGGAUUUGGCCACAUCGAAGAGAAAAAGCAUGGUCUCACAUCCAGCUUCUCGAGGUGUCAUCAUCUUUUCCACGAUUGGGCUCUACAUACCUCGGGGAAGAGCUGCAGGGGAAGGGUCUCUCCAAGCACCCAAGGGUUCUGCUUUGGAGAAGAAGGGAGAU